AAUGGCUGCAGUAAUAUAACUGUACAAAGGUAGCAUAAUCAUUAGUUUUUUAAUUAAAAGCUUGUAUGAAAGGUUGGACGAAGUAAAAUCUGUCUCUUUUUAAUAUAAUUAGAAUUUAAUUUUUAAGUAAAAAAGCUUAAAUUUAUAUAAAAGACGAGAAGACCCUAUAGAGUUUAAUAAUUUAUUUUAAAUAAUUAAUUUAGAUUUAUUUAUUUUAUUUAUUAUAUAAUUAUUUUAUUGGGGUAAUAAAAAGAUUAAUAUAAUUCUUUUUUUUAUAUAACAUUAAUAUAUGAAUUAAAUGAUCCAUUUUUAUGAUUAAAAGAUUAAAUUACCUUAGGGAUAACAGCGUAAUUUUUUUAAAGAGUUCAUAUCGAUAAAAAAGUUUGCGACCUCGAUGUUGGAUUAAAGAUUAAUUUAGGUGUAGAAGUUUAAAUAUUUGGUCUGUUCGACCAUUAAAUCUUUACAUGAUCUGAGUUCAAACCGGUGUAAGCCAGGUUGGUUUCUAUCUUUAUAAAAUUUUUAUAUUUUAGUACGAAAGGACCAAAUAUUUAAUAUAUAAAUAUUUAAUUAUUUUGAAUAU
rnacentral:rRNA from 1 species